GGAGGGGUUCCCGAGUGGCCAAAGGGAUCAGACUGUAAAUCUGACGGUUCCGCCUUCGGAGGUUCGAAUCCUCCCCCCUCCACCA
rnacentral:tRNA from 1 species